UACAGAGGGGCAAGCGUUGUUCGGAAUUACUGGGCGUAAAGGGCGCGUAGCGGCCGCCUAAGUCAGACGUGAAAUCCCAACGGGCUCAACCCGUGGAACGGCUGGGUAGUACUGGCGGUCUUGGGCCAUUCGAGGGGCGACUGGAACAAGCGGUGGAGCGGUGAAAUGCGUAGAUAUCAUUGGAACGCCAAUGGUGAAACAGCUCGCUGGGGGUUGCUGACGCUGAGACGACGAAAGCCAGGGGAGCAAACGGGG
rnacentral:rRNA from 1 species